rnacentral:rRNA from 1 species
AGGGUUUGAUCAUGGCUCAGAACGUACGCUGGCGGCACGCCUAACACAUGCAAGUCGAACGAAGUAGUAAUACUUAGUGGCAGACGGGUGAGUAACAUGUGGGUAUCUGCCCUUUGGCCUGGAAUAACACGAGGAAACUUGUGCUAAUACCGGAUAAGUCUUUACGGAGAAAGCUUUAUGCACCAUUGGAUGAGCCCGCACUUGAUUAGUUUGUUGGUGGGGUAAUGGCCUACCAAGACUGUGAUCAAUAGCUGAUUUGAGAGGAUGAUCAGCCACAUUGGGACUGAGACACGGCCCAAACUCCUACGGGAGGCAGCAGUGGGGAAUCUUGCACAAUGGAGGAAACUCUGAUGCAGCGAUGCCGCGUGAGUGAAGAAGGCCUUUGGGUUGUAAAGCUCUUUCGUCGGGGAAGAAAAUGACUGUACCCGAAUAAGAAGGUCCGGCUAACUUCGUGCCAGCAGCCGCGGUAAUACGAAGGGACCUAGCGUAGUUCGGAAUUACUGGGCUUAAAGAGUUCGUAGGUGGUUGAAAAAGUUGGUGGUGAAAUCCCAGAGCUUAACUCUGGAACUGCCAUCAAAACUUUUCAGCUAGAGUAUGAUAGAGGAAAGCAGAAUUUCUAGUGUAGAGGUGAAAUUCGUAGAUAUUAGAAAGAAUACCAAUUGCGAAGGCAGCUUUCUGGAUCAUUACUGACACUGAGGAACGAAAGCAUGGGUAGCGAAGAGGAUUAGAUACCCUCGUAGUCCAUGCCGUAAACGAUGUGUGUUAGACGUUGGAAAUUUAUUUUCAGUGUCGCAGCGAAAGCGAUAAACACACCGCCUGGGGAGUACGACCGCAAGGUUAAAACUCAAAGGAAUUGACGGGGGCCCGCACAAGCGGUGGAGUAUGUGGUUUAAUUCGAUGCAACGCGAAGAACCUUACCAGGGUUUGACAUCCUGCGAACCUCUUAGAAAUUUGAGGGUGCCUUCGGGAAUGCAGUGACAGGUGGUGCAUGGCUGUCGUCAGCUCGUGUCGUGAGAUGUUGGGUUAAGUCCCGCAACGAGCGCAACCCACGUUUUUAGUUGCCAGCAUUUAGUUGGGCACUCUAGAAAGACCGCCGGUGAUAAACCGGAGGAAGGUGUGGAUGACGUCAAGUCAUCAUGCCCCUUACACCCUGGGCUACACACGUACUACAAUGCUACGGACAAAGGGCAGCAAACUCGCGAGAGCUAGCAAAUCCCAUAAACCGUGGCUCAGUUCAGAUCGUAGGCUGCAACUCGCCUACGUGAAGUAGGAAUCGCUAGUAAUCGCAGGUCAGCAUACUGCGGUGAAUACGUUCCCGGGCCUUGUACACACCGCCCGUCACACCAUGGAAGUUGGCCAUGCCCGAAGUCGUUACUCCAACCCUUGUGGAGGAGGACGCCGAAGGUGGGGCUAAUGACUGGGGUGAAGUCGUAACAAGGUAGCCGUA